GCCGGCAGCUAGCUCUCUGCAACUCGCACAUGGUCGCUCAUUGAAGCUGGGCCUGGUCAGUACCUGGAUGGGAGACCACAUGGGAAAGCUAGGUUGCUGCCGGAA
rfam:Danio rerio chromosome 9 genomic contig CTG956, GRCz11 reference primary assembly.